ACAGCAUUCGGACUGUCGGCCUACCGAGCAAUAUCACCCGCUCAGUGGAAGAUCUUCCCUUCGUCGU
rnacentral:pre_miRNA from 1 species